rnacentral:rRNA from 1 species
AUUGAACGCUGGCGGCAUGCCUUACACAUGCAAGUCGAACGGCAGCAUGGGUGCUUGCACCUGAUGGCGAGUGGCGAACGGGUGAGUAAUGCAUCGGAACGUGCCCUGAAGUGGGGGAUAACGUAGCGAAAGUUACGCUAAUACCGCAUAUUCUGUGAGCAAGAAAGCAGGGGAUCGCACGACCUUGCGCUUUAGGAGCGGCCGAUGUCGGAUUAGCUAGUUGGUGAGGGAAAGGCUCACCAAGGCGACGAUCCGUAGCGGGUCUGAGAGGAUGAGCCGCCACACUGGGACUGAGACACGGCCUAGACUCCUACGGGAGGCAGCAGUGGGGAAUUUUGGACAAUGGGCGCAAGCCUGAUCCAGCCAUUCCGCGUGAGUGAAGAAGGCCUUCGGGUUGUAAAGCUCUUUCGCAAGGGAAGAAAACUUACCCUCUAACAUAGGGUGAGGAUGACGGUACCUUGAUAAGAAGCACCGGCUAACUACGUGCCAGCCGCCGCAGUAACAC